AGGAAGGCUCUUGGGUCGUAAACCUCUUUUCUCAGGGAAGAACAAAAUGACGGUACCUGAGGAAUAAGCAUCGGCUAACUCCGUGCCAGCAGCCGCGGUAAUACGGAGGAUGCAAGCGUUAUCCGGAAUGAUUGGGCGUAAAGCGUCCGCAGGUGGCGAUGAAAGUCUGCUGUUAAAGAGUCUAGCUCAACUAGAUAAGAGCAGUGGAAACUACAUAGCUAGAGUACGUUCGGGGCAGAGGGAAUUCCUGGUGUAGCGGUGAAAUGCGUAGAGAUCAGGAAGAACACCAGUGGCGAAGGCGCUCUGCUAGGCCGUAACUGACACUGAGGGACGAAAGCUAGGGGAGCGAAUGGGAUUAGAUA
rnacentral:rRNA from 1 species